AUGCAAUUAAUGUGAACCUGCACCACAGAGUCUGGUAAAAAUUGGUUCAUUAGAAUUUGCAGAUACUGUGCAGUGUGAUUCUCUAAAUUGAACCCAGGCAACCAUUUCUUGUCAUCAUAGUGCAUAUGUCUGGUGUAGAGAAUCUUGUGGAAUUUUGCUGAAAUGCAGAUAAGGUCCAUGUAACAAGGUGGGAGUGUAUUUUCCCAGCAGGAGAUAAAAUCAAGAUGUGUAAAUGGAGGUGGUGGAUAGGCAGAUAGCAAAGGCCUUUUAAUUUCCUGUUUUGUGAUUAAAAAUUUGAUUUUCUGAGAAAUAGAGUAGUAUAGAGUCUUUGAACAUCACAACAGGUAAGGACAGGGGUUUUCCUGUUUGUGUUAUUUAGGAAAGUGAUGACAAUAAAUAUAUUAAAAAAAAAAAAAUAUAUAUAUA